GACUCCGCCCUCCGGCCUCACCGGUUCGCACAUCCUGCCCCGUGGAGACCCCGCCUCCCGGCCAGAGCCACCUGCCCACAUUGCGGGCCCCUGAGUCUGACCGACCCUGGCCCCCAGAGCCACGCGCCGGGUCGCACCUCACCUGCAGACCCCACCUGCCGGGACUCCAGCGCCAGGUCCCUCCCUGUAACGUCCCGCGGCCGCGGAGGGCCGGGAAGGAACACACUCCGGGUCGGGACCCUGGCCACCCAGGCCACGGCCUCCAGAAGGGCCUCCCCUCUUCCUCGAGAACAAACCGUGGGUCUUUCUGCUUUAGGAGCCUCUUCUGUAAACAGCAUGAAAUCAAAUUCUGCUUUUAAAUCUCGGCUAGGAGACAGUGCCUUCUAACGGGGGAGGGAAACUCAGUCGCGCUGACGGCUACAAGUUAUGCCGGAUCCGGUCCGCUCUGCCGAACCCUCCUGCGCUUCUCUCCAGCGUCUACGCUGGGGGUUUGCAGCCCUACCUGUCACGGGGCCUCUCGUCGUCUUCCCGGAGCCCCCGGUGGCCUGACGUCAGGACUGGGUUUUACAGCCACGGUCGCCCACCGGUCUCGCCCUCACAUCACCCCGUCAGGACCUCUGCUGGGAUCCGUUCCAGAAACUUCCGAGCCCAUGGAACUCCAAGCAUGACUUUGGUUCCCGUGUGCUCGCAGGAAAUGCAGGGAUCCUGAGGGGACGUGAGCUCUGCGCGGCCCGUGUGUCCUGGGGUGGCCUCCCCUGGGGAGGCAGUCAGAUUUCUAGAAGGGAGUUUGCGUGUGGAGGCGUGACUUUGUCCCUGUUCUUACCUGUGUUGACCUGCCUCACGUUUUAAACAUUUUUUUAAUGUUUUUUGAGAUAAUGGGGGAGAAGACAGAGAGGCGGAGUCCCAGGAAGGUCCACACUCCGCAGAGUCCGACGCGAGGCCGGAACGCACCAACCGGAGACGGCGGAGUCGAGCCCGAACCCGGAGCCGGGCGCUGAACUGACUGAGCCUCUGGGCGCCCCUGACCCGCCUGCUCUUAACCGCCAGCCCCACCCCUCAGGCAGCCAGUUCUGGAAAAGUCUCCUUGGUGUAUGUGUUUAAUGCUGCUUUUUUAUCCAAAUCACUCUGGUCCUGGGGUUGACCUUGGUUCUCGCCCUCCGGCUCUGACGUACGUCUGUUCUCAACACCCUGAAAGAACUUCUAAGUUUGUCCUCCACAUCCCACAGCCUUAAACACUCAGCGCCUCCCAUGUGAACUUUCUUUUUGCUAAAACAGUUUUAAUUUUCUGGAACUCUGUGCUCAUGGGAGCAAGUACAGUUUCCGUUCACGGCUGCUCCCUCUUCUCUGGCACAGAAAUCGCAGCCUCUUGCACCGUUAGGGAAGCCCGAGAACCUUCUGAUGCUGCUUCUUACUCUCCAUCGCUCCCAGAACUAAACGUUCUUCUAC